rnacentral:rRNA from 1 species
UACAGAGGUCCCAAGCGUUGUUCGGAUUCACUGGGCGUAAAGGGUGCGUAGGUGGCCAGGUAAGUUUGGUGUGAAAGCUCGGAGCUUAACUCCGAAAAGUCAUUGAAUACUAUCUGGCUGGAGGGUCGGAGGGGAGACUGGAAUUCUCGGUGUAGCAGUGAAAUGCGUAGAUAUCGAGAGGAACACCAGUGGCGAAGGCGGUCUGCUGGGCAGUGGGAGCCGCAAGGUUCCUUUUAGCCGACACUGAGGCGCGACAGCGUGGGGAGCAAACAGG